UACGUAGGGGGCGAGCGUUGUCCGGAAUCAUUGGGCGUAAAGAGCGUGUAGGCGGUUUGGUAAGUCUGCCGUGAAAACCUGGGGCUCAACCCCGGGCGUGCGGUGGAUACUGCCAAGCUAGAGGGUGGUAGAGGCGAGUGGAAUUCCCGGUGUAGCGGUGAAAUGCGCAGAUAUCGGGAGGAACACCAGUAGCGAAGGCGGCUCGCUGGGCCAUUCCUGACGCUGAGACGCGAAAGCGUGGGGAGCAAACAGG
rnacentral:rRNA from 1 species